UGACUCUCCUCCCCAGACCCCUCCUGCCUGCAGCCAGCUGGCCAUGCACUGAACCCUGAGCCACAAUCAACCUCUCUUCCCUUUAGUUGUGUCAGGUGCUGUGUCCCUGUGACUCAGCCCAGGGCCCUGCAUAUCUGUGCAGGCCAGGAGGUUUGCGUUGGUGACUGCAGCGUCUCACUGCACUCAGAACAGGAAGUGUCCGUGCACCUAAGACAGACAGAAAGCACAGCACACUGGAAGGAACCUGUGAUGUCUGGUGACCACAGAGCUGACCAGGCACUUGAGCUCUCUGGUGCUGCCCCAGAAUGGAAGAUGGGCAUUGGGCCACACGCCACGUGCCUGGGAGAAGACUCAGACUUGGAAUUCACAUCUGGAGUUUGGAUUCUACACAGCCUGAGGACAGCAGGGCUGAGCAUCCACACUGGAACCUCUGAAACCGUGAGCCAAGGUGAAGUCACAGCAACAGAGAGUUGCGGAGUCUGAACAGCUCUCCAGGCCAUGGUGCAUGUGUGAGGCCUAGACGUUCCCUCACAGCAAGGGACCUGAGUCUGCACUGUAGCAACCCCUCCUGGAGCCCACAGCCCAGACACCUUCAGAGCAGCAUUGUGAGCCUGGCCUGGAGCUCGUAGCCCCUUCCGGAGUUUCUGCCUGGUCCUCACAGGAUCCCAGGAUGUCUCAGCCCUGAUACUAUUUGGUCUUGGGGAGUUGCUGUAUUCUCUGUAAUCUUAUUGAUAUCAGGAAUCACAAUGGAGUCCAUCUGAACCCUGGACAUGUGAGAGAAGAGAGUGUCUGUGGGCAAGAUUGUUAUUUUUCCUCUGAGAAAUGGAUAGCUGCCGGGCAUCCGAGGGACAGGCAUUCUAAAAAUAUGAAAUAAAAUCCCGUUUCUUUUCUCCAAGAACAGGGAGGGAAACUGAAAUCCAGGACUUUUAAAAAUUUCAUUCAUUUUGACAAAGUGCAUGUCUGCCAUCACUGAUCGUGAGGCAAGAAGCAAAUCCACAUGGGGAUGUUUUCUUUCCCUUUUCCUUUUCUUUCCUUUUGGGGGAGGGUACAGUGGAUUGACCCCAGAGCCUGUGCCCUGCACUACAGCCCCAGCCUCCCUGUCAUUUCCACUUCUUUCAUCUUUUGAGAGAGGCUUUCACUGGGAUGGAACUUGUGAUCCUCCUGCUUCAGCUCCCAAAGUGCUGGAAUUACACAGGUGUGCACCACACCUCGCUGAGAUAUUUUCAGAUGCAGUGGAUUCUGCCAGGUGCAGCUUAUUUUCAGAAAGUGCACAGCUCCUAAGAGUGUGCACUUUUUUUUUGUUUUUACCUUUUUGCAGCAAUAAAAUGAGAAGAAAAUUCUAAUUCUUGAACCACACCAACACACAUAUUUUUUUUUUUUUUGUACUAGGGAUCGAACUUGGGACCUUGAGCUUGCGAGGCAGGCGGCAG